AUAAGCCCUUCGAGAGGCGUGGUUCCUCCCAGAGGGAUUAGUCCUUCAGGCAGGAUGAGCCCACUAAGAUUGAGAAUCCCCCUGACUAAAACCACACCUUUAGUUCUGAAUUUUUGUUUUGGAUGUUAUAGACAAGAUCAGAGAUAAUGGGGUUGCUGAUGCUCACUUGUUAAAGCUAUUACAUCAACAAUAGGUUGCUACAGUGGCGAUUUGCUAAUCCACGAGCAAAUGCUGUUAUCUCGAAAAGAUUGUACAAUUCAUGGAUAAGAAUCUCUAAGCUGUAUGAUUCUGUAAGAACGAAAAAAAUUGACACCUGAAGCAGAACUUGAAACUGAUAUCUAUUCUCAAAUAGGCAGAUAUAGAUGGGACAUCUGGAAGAGUGGUUGGUUAUGGACCGGGAUUAUAUGGGUUCUUUGGUAGGAGCUGCUGAAGCGUUGAAAGGCAGCACGCUCUGUCUACCUGUUGAUUGCGGGGAAAAAUGGUAAACGUACACAGUGUUAAGGAUGCCAUUUGCUCAGCAGUUGAUGUUGUGCAGGCAAUGGCAUCGUCCAUGUGCUUGUUGCUGCCAAAGGUUGGGAAGAUAAGCAGCUUGGCAGCAGAACUUGGUAGUGCAAAUGUCAAGGAGGAAGGGAUGCUGGACGUGUGCCGGGACCUCCUAAACACAAUCUCACCUCUGCAGGUUUAGGUUGGAUGGAUUCCCUCGUUUGUAGCAACCAGCCAAUCUAAGAAUUUCUUUCUUUAAAGGGCUUUUCUCUCCGUCUCUCUCUUUACUUGGCUGGCAAGGUUUCGAGCUCUGAUGAGGUUGAAAUAGCAAUUAGCAACCACAACAGGUGGACAUGUGUUAGGACCGACUGAUGAACUGGCUCACUAGGAAUCAGUUUGUGACAAUGGCACAAUGCGAUGCUUGAACCGUGGGACAAUCCUUGAAACGUGUCAACCCCUAGUGUCCCAAGCAAUCACUGAGUCUCAUUCUUUCAUCUCUCCCGCAACCAUCUUCUCUGCCAUACUAUGCUCUAAAAGCCUCAUGAUGGAUCUUCUCAACGGUAUGGGGUUAUAACCUUCGCAUACUAGCUACUCGAUCUCUCUUUGAAUCUUUCAUUCACAUCACAUGAAGCUAACAACGAGAGAUGGCAGCAAA